GACGAACCGUGCUAACGUUGUUCGGAAUCACUGGGCUUAAAGAGCGCGCAGGCGGUCGUACAAGUCGCGUGUGAAAGCCCCCGGCUCAACUGGGGAGGGUCACGCGAUACUGUUCGACUCGAAGGCAGGAGAGGGUAGUGGAAUUCCCGGUGUAGUGGUGAAAUGCGUAGAUAUCGGGAGGAACACCAGUGGCGAAGGCGACUACCUGGCCUGUUCUUGACGCUGAGGCGCGAAAGCUAGGGUAGCAAACGGG
rnacentral:rRNA from 1 species